rnacentral:misc_RNA from 1 species
GGAUUGUUACAGCUAUGGAGAUUUCGAAUUUGAGAAAAUUAAUUCUAAUGCUUCUAUUUCUCAGCUCAUUUCAACUGUGUAAAGCAUUUGGAGGAGUUGUUAAUCCGCUAGCGAAGUUGAGAUUCGACGGAAAAAAUGGUGAGUUUAGGAUUUUGCAGGUGGCGGAUAUGCACUACGGAGAUGGAAAAACGACGCCGUGUGAAGAUGUGUUGCCGAAGCAGAUGUCUUCGUGUUCCGAUCUCAAUACUACGGAUUUCAUUUUCAGGAUGAUUCACGCCGAGAAACCUCAUCUCAUCGUGUUCACCGGGGACAACAUAUUUGGAUCUGAUGCUACAGAUCCUGUAAAUUCCAUGGAUGCUGCUUUUGCUCCUGCAAUAUCUUCAAACAUACCAUGGGCUGCAGUACUAGGAAAUCAUGACCAGGAAUCUACACUCUCAAGGGAAGGCGUGAUGAAACAUAUCAUUGGCAUGAAAAGUACUUUAUCUCAAUUGAAUCCUCCCGACGUUCCUGAUAUUGAUGGUUUUGGGAAUUAUAAUCUGGAAGUCCAUGGGACUGAGGGUUCCGAGCUGACUAAUAAGUCCGUUCUCAAUCUGUAUUUCCUUGACAGUGGAGAUUACUCUACUGUUCCAUCCAUCCCUGGUUAUGGUUGGAUUAAACCCUCUCAACAGUUCUGGUUUCAACGCACCUCUAGGAAGCUUAAGAAAACUUACCUGCACGAUUCAAAUGCUAGGAAGGCUCCUGCUCCAGGACUUGCUUACUUUCAUAUUCCACUUCCUGAAUAUGCAAGUUUUGACUCAUCAAACUUCACAGGGGUUAGACAAGAAGGCAUAAGCUCUGCUUCAAUAAAUUCAGGUUUCUUCACCACUAUGGUGGAAAGUGGUGAUGUAAAGGCAGCAUUUGCUGGCCAUGAUCACAUAAAUGAUUUUUGUGGCAAGUUGAUGGACAUAAAUCUUUGCUAUGCUGGAGGAUUUGGAUAUCACGCUUAUGGGAAGGCUGGAUGGUCAAGG